UACGGAGGGGGCUAGCGUUGUCCGGAAUCAUUGGGCGUAAAGCGCGCGUAGGCGGCCAGAUAAGUCCGGUGUGAAAGUCACAGGCUCAACCUGUGAAUGCCGCUGGAAACUGUCUGGCUAGAGUCCGGAAGGGGCGAGUGGAAUUCCUGGUGUAGCGGUGAAAUGCGCAGAUAUCAGGAGGAACACCAAUAGCGAAGGCAGCUCGCUGGGACGUUACUGACGCUGAGGCGCGAAAGCGUGGGGAGCGAACAGG
rnacentral:rRNA from 1 species